UACGGAGGGUGCAAGCGUUAUCCGGAUUUACUGGGUUUAAAGGGUGCGUAGGCGACAGGUAAGUCAGUGGUGAAAUCCCCGAGCUCAACUUGGGAACUGCCGUUGAUACUAUCUGUCUUAAUACCGUGGAGGUGAGCGGAAUAUGUCAUGUAGCGGUGAAAUGCUUAGAUAUGAACAUAGAACACCGAUUGCGAAGGCAGCUCACUACUGCGGC
rnacentral:rRNA from 1 species